UACGAAGGGUGCAAGCGUUAUUCGGAAUCACUGGGCGUAAAGAGCGCGUAGGCGGCUUAUUAAGUUGGUUGUUAAAUACCUUGGCUCAACCAAGGAACUGCAGUCAAAACUGAUUUGCUAGAGGAUAAGAGAGAGAAGUGGAAUUCUCGGAGUAGCGGUAAAAUGCGUAGAUCUCGAGAGGAACACCGGUUGCGAAGGCGGCUUCUUGGCUUAUUCCUGACGCUGAGGUGCGAAAGCGUGGGGAGCAAAC
rnacentral:rRNA from 1 species